rnacentral:rRNA from 1 species
UGAGUCGAGCGGACAGAAGGGAGCUUGCUCCCGGAUGUUAGCGGCGGACGGGUGAGUAACACGUGGGUAACCUGCCUGUAAGACUGGGAUAACUCCGGGAAACCGGAGCUAAUACCGGAUAGUUCCUUGAACCGCAUGGUUCAAGGAUGAAAGACGGUUUCGGCUGUCACUUACAGAUGGACCCGCGGCGCAUUAGCUAGUUGGUGAGGUAACGGCUCACCAAGGCGACGAUGCGUAGCCGACCUGAGAGGGUGAUCGGCCACACUGGGACUGAGACACGGCCCAGACUCCUACGGGAGGCAGCAGUAGGGAAUCUUCCGCAAUGGACGAAAGUCUGACGGAGCAACGCCGCGUGAGUGAUGAAGGUUUUCGGAUCGUAAAGCUCUGUUGUUAGGGAAGAACAAGUGCAAGAGUAACUGCUUGCACCUUGACGGUACCUAACCAGAAAGCCACGGCUAACUACGUGCCAGCAGCCGCGGUAAUACGUAGGUGGCAAGCGUUGUCCGGAAUUAUUGGGCGUAAAGGGCUCGCAGGCGGUUUCUUAAGUCUGAUGUGAAAGCCCCCGGCUCAACCGGGGAGGGUCAUUGGAAACUGGGAAACUUGAGUGCAGAAGAGGAGAGUGGAAUUCCACGUGUAGCGGUGAAAUGCGUAGAGAUGUGGAGGAACACCAGUGGCGAAGGCGACUCUCUGGUCUGUAACUGACGCUGAGGAGCGAAAGCGUGGGGAGCGAACAGGAUUAGAUACCCUGGUAGUCCACGCCGUAAACGAUGAGUGCUAAGUGUUAGGGGGUUUCCGCCCCUUAGUGCUGCAGCUAACGCAUUAAGCACUCCGCCUGGGGAGUACGUCGCA